rnacentral:rRNA from 1 species
AACGAACGCUGGCGGCAGGCUUAACACAUGCAAGUCGAGCGCCCCGCAAGGGGAGCGGCCGACGGGUGAGUAACGCGUGGGAACGUACCUUUUGGUUCGGAACAACUCCGGGAAACUGGAGCUAAUACCGGAUAAGCCCUAACGGGGAAAGAUUUAUCGCCGAAAGAUCGGCCCGCGUCUGAUUAGCUAGUUGGUGAGGUAACGGCUCACCAAGGCGACGAUCAGUAGCUGGUCUGAGAGGAUGAUCAGCCACACUGGGACUGAGACACGGCCCAGACUCCUACGGGAGGCAGCAGUGGGGAAUAUUGGACAAUGGGCGCAAGCCUGAUCCAGCCAUGCCGCGUGAGUGAUGAAGGCCUUAGGGUUGUAAAGCUCUUUUGUCCGGGAAGAUAAUAACUGUACCGGAAGAAUAAGCCCCGGCUAACUUCGUG